UACGGGGGGGGCAAGCGUUGUUCGGAAUUACUGGGCGUAAAGGGCUCGUAGGUGGCCAACUAAGUCAGACGUGAAAUCCCUCGGCUUAACUGGGGAACUGCGUCUGAUACUGGAUGGCUUGAGUUCGGGAGAGGGAUGCGGAAUUCCAGGUGUAGCGGUGAAAUGCGUAGAUAUCUGGAGGAACACCGGUGGCGAAGGCGGCAUCCUGGACCGACACUGACGCUGAGGAGCGAAAGCCAGGGAGCAAACGGG
rnacentral:rRNA from 1 species